rnacentral:rRNA from 1 species
CAGUUUCGAAUCAUUCACAAUGGGCGAAAGCCUGAUGGUGCGACGCCGCGUGAGGGAUGAAGGCCUUCGGGUUGUAAACCUCUGUCACCGGGGAAGAAACGCUUCAAGUUAACAGCUUGAAGCCUGACUUAACCCGGAGAGGAAGCAGUGGCUAACUCUGUGCCAGCAGCCGCGGUAAUACAGAGACUGCGAGCGUUAUUCGGAUUCACUGGGCGUAAAGGGUGCGCAGGCGGCCAAGUGUGUUAGACGUGAAAGCCCGGAGCUCAACUCCGGAAUUGCGCCUAAAACUACAUGGCUAGAGCAUUGGAGAGGGUAGCGGAAUUCACGGUGUAGCAGUGAAAUGCGUAGAUAUCGUGAGGAACACCAGAGGCGAAGGCGGCUACCUGGACAAUUGCUGACGCUCAGGCACGAAAGCGUGGGGAGCAAAAGGGAUUAGA